rnacentral:rRNA from 1 species
UACGGAGGGUGCGAGCGUUGUCCGGAAUCACUGGGCGUAAAGGGCGCGUAGGCGGCUUCUCAAGCGUGUGGUGAAAGUCCGGGGCUCAACCCCGGAUCGGCCGUGCGGACUGGGGAGCUCGAGUUCUGUAGAGGCGGGUGGAAUUCCGGGUGUAGCGGUGGAAUGCGUAGAGAUCCGGAAGAACACCGGCGGCGAAGGCGGUCUGCUGGGCAGUUGCUGACACUGAGGCGCGACAGCGUGGGGAGCAAACAGG